rnacentral:tRNA from 1 species
GGAUGUAUGGCUCAGUGGUAUAACACUUGCUUACUAGGCAAAAAUUCCUGAGUUCAAAUCUAAGUACAGCCA